UACGUAGGGGGCAAGCGUUGUCCGGAUUUAUUGGGCGUAAAGCGCGUGUAGGCGGCCAGGUAGGUCGGUUGUGAAAAUUGGAGGCUCAACCUCCAGACGUCGAUCGAAACCAUCUGGCUAGAGUCCGGAAGAGGAGAAUGGAAUUCCUGGUGUAGCGGUGAAAUGCGCAGAUAUCAGGAAGAACACCCGUGGCGAAAGCGGCUCUCUGGGACGGUACUGACGCUGAGACGCGAAAGCGUGGGGAGCGAACAGG
rnacentral:rRNA from 1 species